ensembl:misc_RNA Metazoa_SRP Metazoan signal recognition particle RNA
GCCAGGUGUGUGGCUCACACCUGUAAUCCCAGCACUUUGGGAGGCUGAGGCAGGAGGAUUGCUUGAGCCCAGGAGUUCGAGGCUACAGUGAGCUGUGAUCGUGCCACUGCAGGCCAGCCUGGGCAACAGAGUGAGACCCUGUCUCAA